CAGCCGCCGCGGGAAUACGUAGGUGGCAAGCGUUGUCCGGAAUUAUUGGGCGUAAAGGGCUCGCAGGCGGUUUCUUAAGUCUGAUGUGAAAGCCCCCGGCUCAACCGGGGAGGGUCAUUGGAAACUGGAAAACUUGAGUGCAGAAGAGGAAAGUGGAAUUCCACGUGUAGCGGUGGAAUGCGUAGAGAUGUGGAGGAACACCAGUGGCGAAGGCGACUCUCUGGUCUGUAACUGACGCUGAGGAGCGAAAGCGUGGGGAGCGAACAGGAUUAGAUACCCCGGUAGUCCCUGUCUCUUAUAC
rnacentral:rRNA from 1 species